AAUGAACGCUGGCGGCAUGCCUAACACAUGCAAGUCGAACGGAAACACGAGUUCGGGUGCCGACGGGUGGCGAACGGGGGAGGAAUGCAACCGAACGUACCCAGUAGCGGUGGGAAAGGGAGCGAAAGCUGUGAUAAUACCUCAUGCGAUAUGAGGUAGAGAGCGGGGGAGUGAGCAGCAAUGUUUGGCCUCGCGUGUUUGGAGCGGCCGAUGUCGGAUUAGAUAGUUGGUGGGGUAACGGCCUACCAAGGCGACGAUCCGUAGCUGAUCUGAGAGGAUGAUCCGCCACACUGGAACUGAGACACGGCCCAGACUCCUACGGGAGGCAGCAGUAGGGAAUCUUCCGCAAUGGGCGAAAGCCUGAUCGAGCAAUGCCGCGUGAGGGAUGAAGGUCUUCGGAUCGUAAACCGCUGUUGUCAGGAACGAAACAGUGUCCGCUUACCCCGGCCGGUAAUGACGGUACCUGCAGAAUAAGCCCCGGCUAACUACGUG
rnacentral:rRNA from 1 species